AGCAGUCGCCACGGUAAUACGUAGGUCCCGAGCGUUGUCCGGAUUUAUUGGGCGUAAAGCGAGCGCAGGCGGUUAGAUAAGUCUGAAGUUAAAGGCUGUGGCUUAACCAUAGUACGCUUUGGAAACUGUUUAACUUGAGUGCAAGAGGGGAGAGUGGAAUUCCAUGUGUAGCGGUGAAAUGCGUAGAUAUAUGGAGGAACACCGGUGGCGAAAGUGGCUCUCUGGCUUGUAAUUGACGCUGAGGCUCGAAAGCGUGGGGAGCAAACAGGAUUAGAUACCCCCGUAGUCCCUGUCUCUUAUACA
rnacentral:rRNA from 1 species